AAGUUAACUGAUUUAUUGAGGGAGGAGGAGAGAGUUGACCAAAGUCUACAUGCAUAGACAGUCCUAAAAGCGUAUCUCAAACAUGAAGAUGUAAAUUUGAGAGUUAAUGAUACAAAUUUCAGCAAAAACAUUUUACAGGCAGAGAGUGUUUUGGUGUUUAUAAAAGCUGAACUCCUUUUGAAGGGCUUUUGUACAAAUACACAUGCUCAUAUACUAUAUGCAUAUAUAGGUGUACUUCAUUUUGAGAAAGUCCAGUAUAAUACUAGCAUCAAAUUUACAAAACAGGUUUAGUGUUGACUGACUGAAGAACUCACUACAGGUUUUACUUCAACUGCUUACAUUCAAAAGUAUUCAAUUUACAAAUUUUAGGUACUUACUGUGUAAGGUAAGUACAUCUAUACAUAAAUACUUUUAUGCAGGUAUAAUAUAAACAUAGCAAAUAGCUGAGGCUAUUUUCUAAGGUGUUUGGCUUAGUGAACCUUUUUUACAUCUUUAUAGUUUUAAAGUCAAAUACAUAGCAGUCUUUAUUUGGGUGUAUGUUAUCACAGAGGAAUAAAAAUCAGUAAUGGGACUGGGAACAGUAUACCCACUAAGUUAAAUUAAGUCAUUGGUUAAAACACCAAAUUAUUCAAAACCAUUUAAGAGAUAUGCCCCACUAAAUUCCCUCUGAAUUUAGUCAUUUACAGAUGUUGUGUUUCGUAUUCCUGUUCUCACCUUUGUGCCUGCUCCUUUGCAAACAUUCUUUUCACACCAAAUUCUUAGAACUGAAUCAGAACUGCAGAAAAUCCAACACCUUUUCUCUCCUCUGCACAUGGCUACAAAAAUUCUAAUAGUAACAAGAUAGUGUGAAAGACAUACCUCUAUAUACUUUUUACUAGCAUUGCAUUUGCAAACUUACUUGAAAUUACUUUUUUAAAAAAACAGGAUUUCUAUGGCGUCCUGUCCUUCAGGGUUCCUUCUAAGGUAUGAAUUGCUAAGAAUUUUCUUUUCAGCUGCCUAUAUUUCAUCAGCCUUGAUAAUUAAUCAUCUUUUAUACUAAAUUUGCCAUAUACUGACAAAGUCAAAGACCUGUAAUAAACUAGACAAGCAAAAACUUUCUCUUAGCGGGACUAAUGCUGUUAAAGGCAAAUGGUUUCCUUUCCAUUAAAACCAUAUUCCUGCCUGUUAAGUUACUGAGGUAACUCCAAAAAAUUAAGCAGUAAAAAAGAUCUCCAUGGGAUGUGCCCUAACACAAAUUCUACUCGGCCUACUCAACCAGCACCGUAAUUUUUAACAUUCACUUAGCACCUAUGGGUAAUUAAACAGGCAUCAUCGGAGAAUAUUCCAGUUGCUAAAUGGUACCCCAUUAUUAAUUAGUACUAUGCCAUGGCUCUCUCUGAGUAUUUCUCUGCUCAGUUCUAGUAAUAUCUUAGCAGUGAUAAAAGUGUUUUGCCCAAAUAGUUAUUCUCAUUUUGUUUCACUUUGAUUGAAACAAACAUUUGAUUUUCUUUCAUCAUGUGCUGUCAUACGGUGAUAUGGAUUCAAUAACUUAAUCAUAAUGACCCCCCAAGAUUAAGAAGAAAAAAAGCAUCAUUCAGCAUCUCUCCUCUACCUUUUAAUUUCUGUGUUAAGAGGGAAACAAAACCUUCAAAGGAGCAAGCCAAGUAGCUUUUCCUCUUCUCUAAACUUUACUGGAAAUAAGGCAUUAGAGGUGAUUAGUGCUAAUCUCACUUCUGUUCUCUCCUUUACUCCUUGACAUCACUGUGUUCUACAUGCAGUCCUCCAGGUCACCUGCUUCAAAACCAUCAGUUCAUUCAAAACAAAGAUUUACUGGACCCUCUCUCAAAGGUACUGAUUCAAAAUCUCAGGAGGAAAGUAAUGAAGGUCUACAUUUUUAAAAAUAAGCUUCCCAAGUGAAGGUUACUCACCAAUAAGCUUAAGAACCACUACCCUAUAUAUCAUACAAAAUAGCUGCCCAAUGUUAUAAUUUUAGUUGUCCGAUAUCAGAAUGUCAGCAGAGGAUUAGGGCAAAUCAGCUAAGCAUGGUGGCUCACGCCUGUAAUCCCAGCACUUUGGGAAGCCAAGGCAAGAGGAUUACUUGAGGCCAGGAGUUAAGAGAGCAGCCCGGGCAACACAGCAAGACCCUGUCUCUACAAAAAAAAUUUAAAAAUUAGCUUAGUGCACUAGUAGUGCAGUCCCAGCUACCUGAGAGGCUGAGGCAGGAGGAUCACUUGACUCCAGGAGUUGGAGGUUACAGUGAGCUAUUGUGUGCCUGGACAGCAGAGCAAAACCCUGUCUCUUAAAAAAAAAAAAAAAAAAAAGAUUAGGAUAAAUAAGUUUUAAGAGAGAGUCUAUCACCAACGAUCUGAGUGAGUUACAUUAAAAACCUGUAUGAAGAAAAAAGUAUAUGAGAUGACAGCACUCUGGAAAAAGUGCAUCUGUAAAACCAAACGUUUGGACUACAUAGUAUUUAAGAUCCAUUCCAGCUCCAAAAUCCUGACUUCGUUUUUGUCUCCUCAUACUGACAGUGGAUGAAAUGCAAAUACAUGUUUGCAUUCCAGGGAAUAAGAGGUUCCAAAGCUACCUCUAGUCUUGUCAGAUGGCCCAUAAAAACAUGCUCUGUUGAUCUGAUUUUAACAACUCUAAAAUAAAAUCCUAUGCUACACAUAUUCCUAAGUCCCUGUUCACAACCGGUCAUUCUCCAAUCUUGCCUUGGUACUUAUUCUGCUGUAACUGUACUUAUAUUCCAGAACAAGAAAUAGCUUUGCUAAACAAAGAUUAGACUAACAUAUGCUAUUACCUAUAGUUUAAUGUGUUAAGGAAUAAACGGCAGACAUAAGUUGAGUAUUCAGGCUGAGGGCUUCUUUCCACCACCACAAGCUAAGCUCCAUGAAGGCAGGGAAUUUUGUUUACCUAGUACCUAGCACCUAGCUCAGUGUCUGAUGCGUAUUUGGCAAUCAAUGAAUAUUUGCUAAGUGCAUAAAUGAAUGAGUGGAUGUCAUGAACCAAGUUCUUUUUCAGAUACCUAUAUUAUUCUACUACAUACCUUAAAGUAAAGGCUCACUCAAAGAAAAAGUGUAUGGCUUUUGACUGCAAAGACUUGAAGGGCCUCAACGGUGUUGAUACUGUUUAAAAAUAAAGUAUACAACCCUCAUCAAAGAGGGUUUUCUAGUACUCAGUAUCUCAAAAUUUCUUCAGGGAUUCCAGAAAAAAAAUGGACACGUGAGCAAUUCAAACUUUUGUCUCCAAGAAGAUUGGUAUGCUUAUAAAUUGACUCACUCUUUGUUUCCAUAUUGCUACAUAUGCUCAAACCUAAUUCCACUCCUGGCUUUUAAGAUCUGGCCUCUCCUGUACUCUCCCCAAGACAUUUGGGCUCAUAAUUUUGUAUGAAUGGAGGGCUAACCUAGUUAGAAAGUAAACUUCAGUCCGUUCAAUUAAAACACAAAACAAAACAAAACAAAAAACAGCCGGGCACAGUGGCUUACGCCUAUAAUCCCAACACUUUGGGAGGCCAAGGUGGGAGGACUGCUUGAACCCAGGAGUUUGAGAGACCAACCUGGGCAAUGCAGGGAGACCCCAUCUCUACACAAAAUUUAAAAAUUAGCUGGGAGUGGUGGCACACACCUGUAGUCCCAGCUACUCAGGAGGCUGAGGAAGGAGGAUUGCUUGAGCCCAGAAGACGGAGGCUGCAGUGAGCUGCGACCAUGCCAUUACAUUCCAGCCUGGGCAAGAGCAAGACCUUAUCUAAAAAAAUAAAAAAUAAAAAUAAAUAAAUAAAAUAAAUAAAAUAAAUCAGGACACCCCUCCAAAAAAUGGUAUCUCAAAAUUAAAUAGCAAAAAAAAAAAAAAAAAAAAGUACUUGGAUAUCACACUGGUUUUGAUUAGUUAUAUAACUGUUACUACCUCUAACAAUGUAGUUAAAAUUAGCUCUCGUGGCUGUGGGUUAAAAACCUACUUAAAAAUUAAAAUCCUGUCAGAAACGGUGGUGCACGCCUAGUCUCAGCUACUCAGGAGGCUGAAGUGAGAAGAUCACUCGAGCCCUGGACUUUGAGGCUGUAACACACAAUUAUCACGCCUGUGAACAGCCACUGCACUCCAGCCUGAGCACCACAGCAAGACCUCAUCUUUUUGAAAACAAAUUACUAUUCUAUUUACAUUGACAAAUAAAUGAUCAACUUUAAGGGCUUGACAUUUUUAAAAAACCCCAAUUUUAAACACUAUGGUUUGGGAUGAGUAACUUCCAAUAUUUGAGUACAUACUAUGUGAAAGGCACUACGCUAUGUAUCAAAGAUCCAAAGCUUAAGUAAAUAACACUAACUGACCAAGACACACAAGGUAAAACAGACACAGCCGCAACUAACCCUAUAACAUGUGACACCAUGAAGGUGUCAUAAAUAGAGGCAUAAACAAGGCACUCCCACAUCACAACUAGAGUGGCAAUGCAUUUCAGUAGAGGGCAUGGAGAGGGGAGUUCCACAAGAGUACUGACAUUUUAAUUGAGAUCUCAUAGAAUGAAUGGAAGAAAAUAAGGGCAUUCUGUGCAGUGAUAAGACCAUGAGCAAAUCCAUCCAAUUCUGGGAGCCUGUUCUCUAUGUACCAGGUGCUACACAUACAAAGAUGGAAGCUAGACCGCGCCCUCAAGAAACUCAGUCACACGGGGGAAGAAAUGAACCAACUGUAAUGUACUGGUCUGACAAACAAGGAAUAGAUUAGCACUCUCAAGCAUGCUCAUGACAUGUUGUGGUUUUGGUAUGACUCCAUCAAAGGAUCCAGUGAUGUCUCAACCAUAAGCAAAUAACCCAAUCCAAUGCCACAAAAGUCAGUAACAGAGUUGCAAAAGAUUAGACUGCUUUCCUGGAGGUAGCAUACAAACUCAGUUUUGACACAUCAGUAGGAAACUGGAGAUGCCCAGGAGGGGCAGAAAAAGGAAUGAAAAUACACGACAUAUUCAGAAACAGCAGAUGUCUGAACACUAAAAACAAAGAAUAUGCAAUAGACUGUAAGUGCCCUUUGCAGAAAAAGUUUGACCAUGACUAGAAGAUUCUUGUGUGUCUGGGAGCUUUAGUACACAGCAAAGCAGUGACAAGAGAUGUGGCCAAAAAUUUUGGCUGGGGUUGAAUUCUGAAAACUCUUGAAUAGCAGGUAAAUGCCAGACUCACCCUCCUUUGAAGAAUUUCAACACUAAACAGGACUGAGGGGAAAAAAUAAAUCAAGGACUUUACAUUUAAGUAGCAUUUAUUGGUAACAUAAUUUGAGUCAGGACUUAGUUAUUAAAUCCUCACAAUCCUGAGGGUUAAUUAUCAUCCAGUGUUAUAAAAAAGAAAAAAGUUCAGAUAAGUCACUUGCCCUCAAAACACACAAUUAUGAAAGUAUCAGAACUGGGAUUUUAAGAGUCUAGAUUCAUAAGUUACUACUCCUUCCAUUACAAAACAACACCUGUCUCUGUGGUGAAGUAUAAUUUUUUAAAGUCAAUUGUUUUGAAAUAGCAAAAUAAUAACAAUAAUAAAGGAAAUGCACUCAAUUUCUUAAGCAUGUUUCAUCCCCCACUGGAUAUAUAUCCUCAGCCUAAGCUCAUUACUUAUGAAUGUGUUCACUUUCAGUCACUUCAAGCCACAGAAAAAGUUUAGAAAACAGAUAAUCAGUAAAAAGUGGUAGUUGUGAGAACUCCCAGCUGACAGUGAGCCCAUAUUAAUGUCUACACACUUGUAUAUGCUCCACACUGAUUCAUUUGGGGCAAGAAUAAUAAGAUUGAUGAAUUAACUCAUAAAAACAUCUACCAGCAGGCUGGGCAUGGUGGCUCACGCCUGUAAUCCCAGCACUUUGGGAGGCCGAGGCGGGCGGGUCACAAGAUCAGGAGAUGAGACCAUCCUGGCUAACACGGUGAAACUCUUGUCUCUACUAAAAAUACAAAAAAUUAGCCGGGCAUGGUGGCGGACGCCUGUAGUCCCAGCUAAUUUUUGCAUUUUUAGUAGACACAGGGUUUCACCAUGUUGGCCAGGCUGGUCUUGAACUCCUGACCUCAGGUGAUCUGCCCACCUCCGCCUCCCAAAAUGCUGGGAUUACAAGCAUGAGCUACUGCACCUGGUCAGAAACAGCUAUUUUAAUAGUGUCAUCUUUAAGAAAGAAAAAGUUAAGCGGCAAAAAUAUGCUUCUGUAUUUAGAACCAUGGACCUUUAAUUAUAACUCU
rnacentral:lncRNA from 10 species